UCCUAGUUAAAAACAAUAAUUAUUAGUGCUAGAAAGAAAAGGUAGUACAAUUAAAAGGAGUUGUUAGGAAUGGGUUUCAUUUAUGUGUGUGUGUGAAGAAUAUUUCAGGUGCAUGCGCAAAGACACACGAUUUUGAUUUUUAUUGAGUACAAAUUAAGCAUGAGAAACCCUAAACAAACUCGUGGAAGCUAAAGUGCAAUAAAAAUGUAUAUAUAUGUCACUUUCUUUCUGAUGGCACACAGGUUAGUAUAUGUACAUUUAUGAUCUCUUUUCUCUUUGUUAGGUUUUUGAGGUUUGAUUUUGAAUAUGAAUGGCAGAGCCAAAUUAUUGCAUAUAUGUAUGUGUAUUCUCCCUUGUGAUUUCUUUUCAGUUACACUAAUUUCAAUGUGAUACGACAUAAAGUAUGGGACAAAAGUUGAAUGAGAGAAGUGAGAUCAUGUAGCUAGCCAUGCAUAUGUUUAUUAAUCUUACCUUCUUUAUUCAAUGUUGAAAUUGUUAGUAUUAUGUUUAUUCAAUGUUGAAAUUGUUAGUAUUAUAUUCGAGGAAGAUUUGAAUGAUCAGACUUUGUAUCACUUAUUUUUUAAAGAUUUGAUUUGAAUCAUCUCAUUUUUCAUCA